GACGAACGCUGGCGGCGUGCUUAACACAUGCAAGUCGAACGCUGAAGCUCAGCUUUUGUUGGGUGGAUGAGUGGCGAACGGGUGAGUAACACGUGAGUAACCUGCCCCCUUCUUUGGGAUAACGCCCGGAAACGGGUGCUAAUACUGGAUAUUCACUGGUCUUCGCAUGGGGGUUGGUGGAAAGGGUUUUUCUGGUGGGGGAUGGGCUCGCGGCCUACCAGCUUGUUGGUGGGGUGAUGGCCUACCAAGGCUUUGACGGGUAGCCGGCCUGAGAGGGUGACCGGUCACAUUGGGACUGAGAUACGGCCCAGACUCCUACGGGAGGCAGCAGUGGGGAAUAUUGCACAAUGGGCGCAAGCCUGAUGCAGCGACGCCGCGUGAGGGAUGGAGGCCUUCGGGUUGUGAACCUCUUUCGCUCAUGGUCAAGCCGCAACAAUGGUUGUGGUGAGGGUAGUGGGUAAAGAAGCGCCGGCUAACUACGUG
rnacentral:rRNA from 1 species